GAGUGAUAGUGAUAGCUGGUCUAGGUAGACAGGUGGGUAGAGUGAUAGUGAUAGCUGGUCUAGGUAGACAGGUGGGUAGAGUGAUAGCUGGUCUAGGUAGACAGGUGG